GAUAUCAACUGAAAAAGUCAUCAACAACAAAGUUAAAUAACUCAUCAAGAUCUAAAACUUUUAUUUUGCUCAUUUCUUCAUACUACAAAGUGAUAGUAAUAUUGUUCACAAAAUUGACAUAUCUCUUAUCUGGUUUUAUAAACAUAACACAUAUAUGUAAAAUUUGUGAAUAAUAUUACUAACAUUUCGUCGGAUGAAGAAAUAACAAAAAUAAAAGUUUUAGAUCUUGAUGAGUUAUUCAACUUUGUUGUUGAUGACUUUUUCAAUUGAAAUC
rnacentral:pre_miRNA from 1 species